rnacentral:tRNA from 3 species
GGGUCGAUGCCCGAGCGGUUAAUGGGGACGGACUGUAAAUUCGUUGGCGAAAUGUCUACGCUGGUUCAAAUCCAGCUCGGCCCA